GGAAUUAAUAUGUAGGAAGUAACGGUUUUACUUGCGUAUGAAUCCCAAUGUUGCUCUUUGCAGGAUAGGAAGUGAAAAUGAGUGGUGUCAACUCUUUGCUAAGGCCAUGAAACGGAUGUCUUGGAGGGCCAUAAUCUUUUUCCGGGUGGAGUUUGUCUGCAGUCAGUGCAGAAGAUAGAAGUCCAAUGGUACAUAGCAAGCAAACGUCCCUGGAAUGAUGGCGAAGUGUCGAGACCCAUGGGUGCCAUGGGUGACAAUCCGUCAUGAGUACAUGGGCCCGAGGAACUACCAGCUCCCUCGUUCUACAGCUGUCAGAGACGUCAAGCAACUCAUCUACGAGGAGACAGACCUGCCCAUUACAGAACAGCAGCUCAUACACAAUGGCAAAGUGGUGAGACAUAAGGAACCCGUCUCAGCCAUGGAGUCCCAAUUGGAGAUUUGGUUAACUUCAAAUUAGAGUUGGAGCAUGUUGAAGAGUAUGCCCUUUUUAUCACAGUAGCAGGUAUUGUGCAUAUUUGGUUUGCACAAUACAAAUCCGAUUAGUGAGUGACCAUUCCUAGUGUGCAUGCGGCACAUCCUGUGUGUCACACUGCUGUUGUCUCCCGGCAGCAUCCCGCGCUCCUCAUUUGUUCAGUGUUUUGAACGUAUCAAGGGUUUUUUAAUAGACUAAGUAUUCUAUUCAGAUAAUGUCAGACAACAUCAGGACUGGUUAGAAUGACUGUGUGCUCCACUGUGAAACAACAAAAGCACAUUGUUUGAACAGAGAUGUUGCUUGAUAAUCGGACACAAGACUUUGAUCCAGUUGUAUCGUAGCCAACUGUAUUGUCAGUUGUUGCCAGGACAAGAUUAGAACUCUUAAUCUCAAUUUUUACCUUCCAAUUCUUUCGU